GACGUAGGGCGCGAGCGUUGUCCGGAUUUAUUGGGCGUAAAGAGCUCGUAGGCGGCUUGUUGCGUCGACUGUGAAAACCCGCGGCUUAACUGCGGGCUUGCAGUUGAUACGGGCAGGCUAGAGUUCGGUAGGGGAGACUGGAAUUCCUGGUGCAGCGGUGAAAUGCGCAGAUAUCAGGAGGAACACCGGUGGCGAAGGCGGGUCUCUGGGCCGAUACUGACGCUGAGACGCGAAAGCGUGGGGAGCGAACAGG
rnacentral:rRNA from 1 species